AGUCAAGUACAGGGGGGUACAUUUCAUUAACGUGAUAUUAAUACAACUAAAUAACACACACACACACACACACACACACACACACACACACACACACACACACACACGGAACAAGAGUGACGGAAAAGGAGGAACCUUCUUACUGGUUAUGGAGGUGCAGUGGGUUGUGUAACAUCAGAUCAUCCACACACACGUGCACGCACACACUCACACACACACACUCACACACACACACACACUUAGAACACACUGACAAUGAGAGCAGAGACCCUGAUCCUUACAGGAUUACUUUUACUGAGGUUCGGUCGAGGAGAACUGGACCCUAAAAUCAUUUCAUUUAGCCGAGGAGUUCAGCUGUUUGUUAAAGGUAUUUAUGUCGAGGCUCCCAAACUGCAGAUCCUGCUACCUGCAGGACUUUGGAUGGAGACGUCCGACGCCGACAUCUUCACGUGUAUCAUUACGGGAUUACACACCACACAGAUACGUGUCACUUGGAAGAUUAAUAAGACCACAGUUACAGAAAGACACACCACGGCUGACAUCUUCAAGGAGCCUGAUGGCACGUACACUGCAUUAGGGCACUUCUACCCCUCACCGGGGCACAAGCUGACGACCGAGGAGGUAUACAGAUGUGAGGUCGAGCAAGCAGGAAUGAUUUACUAUGAAGAAGUCUGGCCGUCUCACUGUGAUUAGACUCUGUGACACACAGUGGAUUUGGCGUGAUGCUUUAUAGACUAUUUUGGAUUGAUAUGAAGGCCUUACUUGGGGUUGCCAGGUUUUUGGGUGAUCCUGCACCUUCUCCUUCUACUGGCUCUUAAUCCUGUUCUUGACAUACUGUUUGUUCUGAGAUGCUGUUCCAUUCACCACGGUUGUAAAGACUGUGGAUAUAUGAGUUAUUGUAUCCUUUUUGGCAGCUGAGAUGUUUGAGGAACAUGUGCUUGACUUGUAUUUGCAUGAUGAGGGAGGUGGUAUCAUAGUGGUGGAGGCAUUGGACUUUGGAUCAGAAAGUCAUGAAUUAAAAUUCCCAGCCACACCAAGCUGCAACUCCUGGGCCCCUGACCAAGGCCCUUAACCCGCUAGCUGUUUAGUUAAGUGAUUGAGAUGAAGGUAAAUCACUCUGGAUAAGUAAGGACAUCUGAAAAAUGCUGUAAAUGUAAAUGCAUGAAGUCACAUUGCUGUUAUUUGAUUGGCUGGUGGGUUAAUUGCAUGCAUAUACAGGUUCCUAUUAACGUGCCUGGUGUGUGUAUUUGGUAAUGAUUUGUGAUCUGUUUUAUUGGCCACUGGGUUCCUUUUUAAAAUCCAUUAGUAAGGAUCUAUUUUGCAUUAUAUGGCAACCAUGUUUAAAUAUUAAAUGAAGAACAUUAAGAGCGCCACAUGGGGGCGCAACGUGUCUGUAGUCUGGACUGGAGUGUGUGAAGAGGGAAAGACCUGAUUUAGAGUUUACUGUAAAUCUGAGACAAAGUGUGUUUAAAUCCUUGUGAAAACAUUGUUAGGAAAAUGAAUUCAGAUAAAGUAUUUAUUUAUAUCAGAUCAGAUCAAAGUUAUUUCAUGUAUUUUCUUCAUUUUAUGUCUCUUUCGUUCAUUCUUUCUUUCUGAAAUGUUGAUAAAAUAAGAUUUACAUAUACACAUAUUUAUGUAUUACUAUAAUUGACAUUUUGUACUUACAAAAACCUCACACACCACAUAAUUGAGUGCACGCACACACACACACACACACACACACACACACACACACACA